rnacentral:lncRNA from 1 species
CCCAUUCUCCAAGUACCUAGUAUCACUCAUACCUUGCUUCUCAACAUUGUUGUACUCAUUGUUACCAUUGUAAUAGUUGUUGUUGUUCUGGUUUUCCUUAGUACUCCAUCCUUUCUCAGUGAACAUGGCCUCAUUGUUACCAUUGUAAUAGUUGUUGCUAUUCUGGUUUUCCUUAGUACUCCACCCUUUCUCAGUGAACAAGGCCUCAUUGUUACCAUUGUAAUAGUUGCCAUUGUAGUUGUUGGUUUCCUUGGUGGUCCAUCCUUUCUCAUUGAACCUGGCUUCACUUUGCUGCUCAGUGUUCCCGUAGGCAUUUGUCUUGCUAUAAAAGUAAGAGUCUUUGUUGUUGGUUUUGGACGCUGGGAUGCUAUUGUAGGGUUCAUCAGGGUGGUAUUUAACAGGUGUGACAUAGGGUUCAUAGGUUUCUUUGGUACUGGUGGUGCUAGGAGGGAGCUGACCAGACUCGUGACCGUAAAGCCCAUAGCCAUUUUGGGUCUCGGGGACAAACCUUGGCUCUUGCUCCUUCUUCCCCAAAGUGGUUUGUUCUUCUUUGUUGGUCACCUCUUUCUCAUUUGUGUUAACACUUGGGAUUUUGCUAAAAAAAUCCCUACCAUGUAUUUCAACGGAGAAGAGGGCUAAAAGGAAGAAGUAAGAGAUGAAUUUUGGUGAAGAAGCCAUUGGCAAAAAAAAAAAAAAAAAAGGGAAAGCAAAGAUUUUGUAGGUAAUGUAAGAGACUACACACUAACGAGGAAUACGUGAUGAUGCAAAGUGCUUAUAUAGAAAGAGUGGAAGAGCAAUGAUUUUGUUUUCACUCUAAAUUGUUAAAAUUUUCUACUCAAUUAACGGAGGGGGUGAAGAUGGUUAUGAUUGUAGGGACUUGGAUGAGAGAGAAAUAUCAAAAGAGGCCCUUUUACUUUGUGGUUUGUUGUUAAUCAACCAUGUUUCAUUUAUUUCAUUCUCAAUAUCAUGAACCCAAUGUUUUUAAAAUCAGAAAGAAUCAAAAGUAAUUAAUAUAAUUUUAUUAAAAUCUCAACUCUUCCUAGAUUCAAGUCACAAAUAAAUUCUGUUUGCAAUGUGUAAAUUAAUUACAAAUAUACCCAAAAAUAUAUAUAAUUUUAUUGUAUAUUGACAUACAUUAUUAUGCAUAAAAAUAUAAAAUCCUUUUUAUGCAUAUAAAAAACAAUCAUGGCAUACAAAAGUUUAUGUUAAUUAUUAUAUUUUAAAAGUGGUUUUUGUAAAAUAAAUCUACUAGGAUUGUUUAUAAUUUCUAUUUCCCCACAGUGGGAAACAAGUGAAAUGUGUAAGCUUUAUUUGUUUUUUGGUCACAUAAGAUUCCCUCCUCACACUCCACUUAAUUCUUUACCAAACCUAUUAAUUAAGAUCACUAUUAUUUGUGUAUCAAACUAUUGAGUGUUUCGUAUCUUCUAAGCAAAACCCAAUUUCAUUUUAUUUUAAUAUUUUAAUAAAACUCAUCAAUUGUGUCUUAGCGUGUUGUCAAACUAGUGGAAGGACGUGGACGGAUUAUGAGUAAUUUUAAACAUCAUAUAUAAAAAAAACAUAUAUGAUCAGAACUUAUAAAUUUAUUAUUUCAUUUUUCUAUCUCUUAAAAAAAUAAUAAAAGGGCAAAAAAAAAAAUUAAAGUUUAAGAGAUUUGAAGGAAAAAUGUGUUGGGUGGCUGGUUGGAUUUAAUUCAAAUUAAGUUUUCGAUUGGUUGAACUUAAAUUUAAAUUAAAUAACUUAAAAAUAUUUAUUUAAAUUUAAUUAUAAAAAAAUAAUAUUGAUAUAAAAUUAUAGAUUUUUAAAUUUUUUCAACAUUAAAAUUGACUACUUAAGUCGGUCGGAUCGAACUCAAAAAAAGAAAGAAUCAAGUCAUUACUCGAUCAAAAUCGAUCCAUUAAUUUUGGGAUAUUAUUUUUAACCUAAACCCUCUUAUAUCUGGUAACUAUAUCAAAUCUUAAAAAGCUUAGAACACAUUAUAAUGGUGGGAUAGGGAGGGGGGGGGAAUAGAGGGCAUCGUGGGCUGUGGAAAUUUAGAGAUGAAAGGGAGCGGCGGAUGAUACUGCGAGGAUUAAGGGGGAAUUGGUGGGACAUUAAACUAUGUCGUUUAGCGGCUGUCUCCAUGUUCUAUUUUUCUACACCGUAGGUUGAUUUUUUUUUUAUAAAAAUUAAUAAUUGAAUUUAGGUAUAAUUAUAUGUGCCUUAUUAUUAUUUAUAGGUUUUGAUUAUAUCUGUUCUUUUUGACACAAUGUCUAGAAUAGGUAUAGCCCCUUCUCAACCAAUAAAUAGGAGGAUAAUAGGCUUCAACGUACUCGAACUCACGUCCUCUUACAUUGGUAACAAUAUCCAUACUAAUCAAAUUAAGAUUCAAUCGACUAUUGUUUUUCAAUUUUUAAAGAGUAGUUAAGAAUUGUAAUUAAUAAUAACUUUUAAUGAUUAAAAAAUAUAUUUUUAUUAAAUAAGAAAAAAUAUAAUAUAAUAUAAAGAAUUAAAACAAAAUUUCACUUUAUUAAUUAAACACGUCUAAUAAUGUAUUUACCCUAAUAAGUUGCUUCAAAUGCAAAUUACUUCCAUAGCUAGCAAGGAAAAAACAAACAAACAUUCUUUAAUUGUAAUUGAAUAUUGGAUACCAAAUCUUUUUAAAUAAUCUUUAGUCAAAUAUAUAAAAUUUUACGAAAAUUAAUAGGAUUUAAAAAAUAAUUGAUUGAGUCUUAGUUUGAUUGGUAUGUACAUUGUUAUCAAUCCAGGAAGAUGUAGACUUAAAUACGCUGAAGUGCAUUGAAGAAUAUAGAGAGAGGCCAUAAGUAAUUCUAGAUAUUGCAUAAAAAAAACAGAUAUAAUCUAAACUUAUUUCUUUUUAUAAUUAUUCUGACUCACGUUUGAGACUCAUGCAACGAAAAUUCAAGCACCAAUGUCUAAAGCAACAUAAAUAUAUAUGAAAAAAAAGAAUGUUGUCAUUUUGUUUUGAUAGCCAAAUAACAUGAAAGUGCGACUUAAAGUCUAAUCUAAGGUUAAUCUUGAUUAACACAAAAUGAAUAUUUUUCACAUUAACAUUUUUUGAUUUAUGGGUUUUUGAUUAUUCUUAGCUGAAAAUAUUGCAUUCCCAUGUAAAAAGUUUUGGACAUAUAAAAAAAGUAUAAAGACUUAAAAUAUAAAUUAACCGACAUAUUAAACGCAAAAUAAUCUUUAAAAUUAUCUAUUUUUGAGAAGAGAUAUAACGUGGUCUUUAAUGUUUAAACUCACGAGUUAGGAAAAAAAUUGUAAAUUCUUACUCUUACUUUUGGUUUCUUGUUGCAUCCCAUUGAUUCAGUGAAGUUUUAGUUGCGUGAUCAGCGGCAGAGGUGCUUUCAGCCAAUGCAAAGCAUGUAUCCAUCAGAGCUGGCAAUCAAACUCCUCCCACCUAUUAACCUAAUUUUGAAAAUCAAUGUUUGCCAAAAAACAGACUAGUAAGACAUGUAUUUUAACAUAAAAGAAAAAGCAAAUUGAGUUUUAACUCGAUUGGUAUUGUUGUCAAUGCAAUAAGGCGUGGGUUUAAUUGCACUGAAGCGUAUUAUCCUCCUAUUUAUGGGUUAAGAGAGGCUAUGGGUAGUUCUAGGCAUUAUGUCAAAAAAAAAAAAAACAGAUAUAAUCAAAACUCAUAAUUAGAUUGUUCAGAAGAGAAGAAGAAAGGCACUAUCGCUAACUUCAAUUUACGUGAAUCAGAUUGAUUUUGGAUUUACUUAAAUUUGAUUUUAAAUCUUUUUGAAUUAUUUUAAGUUUGGAUUAGUUUAGGUAUGAAUUGUUUCGAGUUCAAGUUAUGUUUUUCCAGUUCUGGUCAUCUCAUUUUACUCCUUAAUAUCAUUUUAAAUUUGAUAUUUCGGUUUUAGAUGGAGCAAAUUCAAGUUUUUAACAUUUUAUAAUCAAAUUAUAUGAGAUCGAAUUUGAAUUCAAAUUAGUUGAAAAUACCCCAAAGUGUAGUAAAACACAAGCUACAUGAAACAGGAUGAAUAAAGUCAAAGCAAUUGGUCCCUAAAAAUGAGGUAAAAGUCUAAGGUAGCUGCCUGCAAAAUUCAACUAAACUGAAUUCACAAAAGUAGAGUUUCUGUUAAUGUGGUUGGGGUUUGGUAGGUUUACAUUUCAAGGAAAUUUGAUGGGUAAAGUAGUUGUACAUCAAAUAAAUUCAAAGUUAUUAGUUGGGUUCAGUAAUUCCCUACCAACAUUUAAAAUAAGAGUUGGUUUUGUAGUAAUAAAUAAGUGGGUGAUGGACAUAUCAAUUGAUUGGUUAUAUCAUUUUUAGUAGGAUCAAUUUCGGUUAGUUAGAUUAUUUUAAAUUCAAGUUGUUUCGGGCUUUCAUCAUUCAGAUUGAGAUUUGUUUUUUUAGUAUUAUUCAUGUUCGUUUUAGGGUCCAUGUUCGGGAUUUGUGGCUGUUCCUCUCAAUAAUAUUGUUUUCAAGCUUCAAAUUUAGGUUCUCCGUUUGAGAGUGCAAUGCACCUUACCAUUACAUCCAAUCACUUGUUGAUUGUUUUGUCAUUUUAAAUGGAUCGUUUUAAAUUAUUUAUUUAAAUUAUUUUAAGCUCAAAUUAUUUUAGAUAUAAUUCAUUUCGAUUUUAAAUUUUUUGAAUUAAUUUAAUUUUGAAUUAUUUUAAAUUUAAAUUAAUUUUAUUUUUAAAAUAAAUUAAUUCGAAUUCAAAUAGAUGCAUUGGACCUGCUCAUGGCAUUGAUAAGGUGUGGGCUAGGCGAAGGUCAAAAUGCUACAAUGAAAUCCAUGUGGUAAAUAAUGGUCCCAAUGAAAGCACAUCAAGAAUCACAAGGGACCAAAUAAUCAAGAGAAUUUAAGCACUUAUGAUUUUAGUAGUAUUAUGGAUGGUCUUAUAUUAAGAGUUAAAAAUGAAUAAAUUAAUCUUUAUACUUAAAUUAAAGAGUAAGUAGAUACUUCCAACAACUUUCGUCCAUUUUUAUUGUUGAAAACCAGCAUGAUUGAUAGAAUAAUCGAACAGUUACACUUGAUAUGUCAUGUGUAUCUCAUUUUAACAUAUAGGGACUAGUUUUUAAUAGUAGAAAUGAAUAAAAUUUUUAACAAAAUGAUCAAUUUACCCUUUAAUCUAAUGUAUAAGAAAUAAUUUACCUAUUUUUUAAUAGAACGAGCAAAAUACAUUUCGACUCUCAAUGACUAAUUCAAUUAAUAAACAUCCCUUUACCCCACCAUUUCCCUUGCCAUCAAUCCAAUUUUAUAUCUUUCAAAUUUCAAAUUUGAUUUUAUUUAAAAUUUUAAUAUUCAAACUCGAUAAAGAAAAUCUCCAACUCGUAUCUAAUCCGCCCUGCUCCACCCUGAUAUAAUAAACAAAUUCUUUUAUAAAAACUUAUAGAAGUUUUUAAAAAUCUAAUUAAAAAAUAAAAACAGUUAUAAAAUUAAAAAAAAUAUUUGGAUAAAUUAUUUGAGAAAAGACAUCUUAUUAUAGGUUCUGAUUAUAUCUAUUAUUUUUGGCACAAUACCUCGAACUAUUCAUAACCCUAACCCAUAAAAUCUGCUUUUACAAGGUAUGAUUUGAAUUUUUUGGGUGAUUGAUAGUUGGGGGCAGUUGGACCUCCUGGAAAUCUCUGAGACCCUUUUUUGAGUAAAAAGAGAGACUUCCCACUUGGACUAAAGAAGGGGGACUUCUGCCGAGUGUCUCAAAAUUUUUAAUUUUUACAAACUUAUAUCAAUACCAACAUUUCUACCAAAAAUCAUUAAAAAAAUUGGUAAAAGUUAGAUAUAUGUGUAUGCUUCGAGCACAUGGGAGAAUUUACCUGAAGAAGGGAGAAGGCAAGUU